UACGAAGGGGGGCUAGCGUUGCUCGGAAUUAUUGGGCGUAAAGCGCACGUAGGCGGUUCGUUAAGUCGGAUGUGAAAGCCCUCGGCUCAACUGAGGAAGUGCACCCGAAACUGGCGAGCUUGAGUACGAAAGAGGAUCGCGGAAUUCCCGGUGUAGAGGUGAAAUUCGUAGAUAUCGGGAGGAACACCGGUGGCGAAGGCGGCGAUCUGGGCAGAUACUGACGCUGAGGUGCGAAAGCGUGGGGAGCAAACAGG
rnacentral:rRNA from 1 species